rnacentral:rRNA from 1 species
UGAGGAAUAUUGCGCAAUGGGGGCAACCCUGACGCAGCAACGCCGCGUGAGUGAGGAAGGUUUUCGGACCGUAAAGCUCUGUCGAGUGGGAAGAAAUGUAUCGUGGCUAAUAUCCAUGAUACUUGACGGUACCGCUAAAGGAAGCACCGGCUAACUCCGUGCCAGCAGCCGCGGUAAUACGGGGGGUGCGAGCGUUGUUCGGAAUUAUUGGGCGUAAAGAGCGUGUAGGCGGCUGAAUAAGUCAGAUGUGAAAUCCCUGGGCUUAACCCAGGAAGUGCAUUUGAAACUAUUCAGCUUGAGUAGGGGAGAGGAAAGUGGAAUUCCUGGUGUAGAGGUGAAAUUCGUAGAUAUCAGGAGGAACACCGGUGGCGAAGGCGACUUUCUGGCCCUAUACUGACGCUGAGACGCGAGAGCGUGGGUAGCAAACAG